AGAGAAUCAGGAAGACCGGGCCUCUCGCAUCCGCCUACCUGGCAACCGCAGAUGCUGACCUAGAAGACAGGGAUGGUGAAACCCAGCCGGUGAGGGUGCGGACCGCUAGGACACCCAGGAUUGAGAAAAUUGAUUCCAGACAGGUCCACUGUGUGCAGCUUGCAAGUUCUUCCCUUUGGGUUUUCUCCUGGAUUGUUUUCCUCCAACAGCCCAAAGACAUGCAGGUGAGAUCAAAACUGCGGUUCUAGGAAGACACUUCGGCAGAGGCAGCGCCACAUCUAGAACCUAGAUCUGCCCCGGCGGCGCGGAGGAGGGUGUGGAUUUUCUGAGCCGCCCCACGAAGAGGAGCCGGAGCCCUGGUACUGGGGCACGUGGCCUGGGGCUCUGAAGCUCAGCGCCCCGACCCCCACAGGGAGCGCUGGGGCUGGAGACGCCUCGGAGCCACACUGGGCGAGGGAGGAGGGUUCGCAGAAUAGAAACCGGGUUCGGGUGUAUUGGGGAGAUGCCAGGAAAGCCACCAAAGAGCUCGGGAGUUUCCGCACCUCCAGAUGGGUGAGCCAGUCAGGGCCACCGACCCCCCAACACGGGGGACUCAGACGCCGCUGGCCGGGCCUCCUGUGCCUCGAAGCAGCCUUCCAGAGGUAAGGCCGAGUCUAACCCCUGCCCUCGCUCCCAGUCCGCCACCACUCUCACCUGUUCCAGGAUGCCGGUUCCGGGCCCAGAUUGUUGGCGGGGUAUUCCUUAAAGCUAACCCCACGCCGCGCUCAGCUCUCUGGGUUUAAUAGUUCUCGAUCCUCUUUCACUAGGGACAGAAAUGGCUCGUUAGACUACAAUUCCCGGCAUGCUGCGGGAGGGACAGACACCACGCGAUCUAGCGCUGGCUGGCUGGGCGGGGACGAGUCGCGCUGAUUGGCCGCUUCCCCUCGUAUGAGCAUGGGGCCCUGUGAUGAGAGCCAAUGGAAGGGCUGCGCCUAGGGCAAAGCUUUAAAGGAGCGGGACUGGGAGUGGGAUGGGAUGGGAGGCGGCUGGGAAUGUCCUCACCUUUUCUACACACAAACUUUUAUUAUCUUUCCGUGCAGCUAAGUGGCAUGUUAGUACAACCCAGCAGACCUGCUUUGUCACUUACUGAUGCUCUAAUUUAGGCAAGUCAUUUAACUCUCUGAGCCUCAGUUAACUUCCUUUCCUCGACUAUAUACUUACCGGGAGGUAAUGUGUAGUAUGAAGUGCUUUAAGGGCUGAAUUAAAAUAAGACUCAGAGUAGAAGCUAGAAGCCUCACCCCACCCACACUAUGGCUUGGUCCUGUUAUCUUUCUUCCAAAACUCAGUAACUUGACCCAUCAGGUCAAGAUGCCUACGCCCGGGUCUGUGUGUCUCUGUUGGUUGGGCGUCCUCCCUUGCACGUUAAGGUUGCUGGUUCGCUUCCUGGUCAGGGCACAGUCCGGGUUGCGGGCUGACCCCCAGUAAGUAGGGGGUGCACAGGAGGCGGCUGAUGGAUGAUCAUUGCUUCAUUCGCACAUUGAUGUUUCUCUCCCUCCCCCUUCCUCUUCUAAAAAUCAAUUUUAAAAAAAAGUCUGAAACGCCAAACCAUCUAGGACGUAAAUGGAUUUUGCCAUUAUGUAACAAAAAUAACUGCAAGAAAAAUUUGAUUGUGCAACGAUACCCGUUUUCACCACUGCUGUUUCAACAUUGUACUGGGAAUUCUAGUCAGGGCUACUAGACAAGAAAAAGAAAGAAAACACAAAUUGAAAAAAGUAAAGAUAUCUAUUACAUAGACAGUAUGAUUUCGAAUAUAGGAAUUUCUCAAGAAAGCUACUAAAGCUAAUAAACAAGUUCAGCAAAGUUGCAGGGUACAAAAACAACAUGAAAAAAAUCAGUUGUGUUCCUACAAUCUCAGAAAGGAAAUGAAGGAAGCAAUAAUAUUUACAAUAGCAUCUAAAAUAAUAAAAUACCUAAAAAUAAAAUUUAGCCAGUGUACAAGUCCUUCUUGUACACUGAAAACUAGAAAACAUUGCUGAAAAAAAUUAAAGUCCUAAACAAGUGGAAAACAUCCCACAUUAAGAUAUCAGCACUAGCUGGUUUGGCUCAGUGUAUAGAGCAAAGGCCUGUGGACUGAAGGAUCCCCAGUUCUAUUCCAGCCAAGGGCAUAUGCCCAGGUUGUGGGGUUGGUCCCCAGUAGGGGGCGUGCAGGAGGCAGUGGAUCAAUGAUUCUUUCAUCAUUGAUGUUUCUAUCUCUCUCCCUGUCUCUUCCUCUCUGAAAUCAAUAAAAAUAUAUUCAAAAAAUAAAUAAAAACAUUAAAAUGUUUUU